CUUUUCUCUUGCUUUUGUUUACUUUUCUUUAUUAACCCACCUCUCAAAAACCCCAUAUAUUGGAGUCUAACCUAGUAAAAUUAGUUCCCAAUGUUUUAUAAUUAAAUUUAAUCACACUGAAGUGUUGGUAGUGGAGGCAAUGGUACAAGAGAAGGCAGAUGCAGCAAUUCCAGUGACAACAUUGUCACCUCCAGAAGGCAACACAACAUUCCUUGGGGGCACCACAUGGUGUGUGGCCCUUGCAGGUGUGCCUCAAAUUGAUCUGCAGAAUGCAUUAGACUGGGCCUGUGGACUUGGGAUGACUGAUUGCUCUGCAAUCCAAGACGGUGGAGCUUGUUUCGAACCUGACACUCUGCUCUCUCAUGCCUCUUAUGCUUUCAACAACUAUUACCAACAAAAUGGGAAUUCUGAUAUUGCUUGCAAUUUUGGAGGCACUGCCACUCUUACCAAGAGUAACCCUAGUUAUGGAAAAUGCAACUAUGCUGCCUCUGGCUUGGGAUCCCUCCACUCGUCAGCACCUCCAUUGUCCAAGCACAGACCAAACUUUGUAUGGUGGAAGUUUGCUGGGAUUUUGCUGCUUUUGUAAUUGAUAAGCUAUAAUUAUUGGUUUAAUGGAUGAAGCAUGAUGAUGGUUAUGGGGUUAUCAAUUGUGGAGAUGAAAAUGCAUAAGAAUUAGGCUUAAUUAAUUACAAGUGAGAUCUUCUUUUAAAUUUCUAUAUUAGCUGUGAUUAAUCUUUUUGUAAUUGGAAUCACUAAAUUAUUCCUACCUUAAGCUUGUGGGGUCUGGAAUAUGUGUGGUUUUGCUAUGAAAUCCUUACUCCUGCCUUUGUUGUUCC
rnacentral:misc_RNA from 1 species